rnacentral:rRNA from 1 species
GCGAGACUGCCGGUAAGUAAACCGGAGGAAGGUGGGGAGUGACGUCAAAUCAUCAUGCCCCUUAUGACCUGGGCUACACACGUGCUACAAUGGUUGGUACAACGAGUUGCGAGUCGGUGACGGCGAGCUAAUCUCUUAAAGCCAAUCUCAGUUCGGAUUGUAGGCUGCAACUCGCCUACAUGAAGUCGGAAUCGCUAGUAAUCGCGGAUCAGCACGCCGCGGUCGAAUACGUUCCCGGGCCUU